CCUUUGGUUGGAUCAGUUGGCGAACGGGUGCAUUAACACAUAAAGCAACCUGCCCCUGACUCUGGGAUAAGCGCUGGCUUCGGCGUCUAAUACUGGAUAUGUGACGUGGCCGCAUGGUCUGCGUCUGGAAAGAAUUUCGGUUGGGGAUGGGCUCGCGGCCUAUCAGCUUGUUGGUGAGGUAAUGGCUCACCAAGGCGUCGACGGGUAGCCGGCCUGAGAGGGUGACCGGCCACACUGGGACUGAGACACGGCCCAGACUCCUACGGGAGGCAGCAGUGGGGAAUAUUGGACAAUGGGGGCAACCCUGAUCCAGCAAUGCCGCGUGAGUGAUGAAGGCCUUAGGGUUGUAAAGCUCUUUCGGCGGGGACGAUGAUGACGGUACCCGCAGAAGAAGCCCCGGCUAACUUCGUGCCAGCAGCCGCGGUAAUA
rnacentral:rRNA from 1 species